rnacentral:lncRNA from 1 species
GAGCAUUCACACAAUAGAUUACCAUAGCAAGGAAAAACCCAAGCUGCCCUCGCCCCAAACGUGGAAGUUGUUAUAAAUGCAUCAUUAGCUGAAAGAAGCCUGGCACAGAAGAUGACCUUUUAAAGACAGCACUUAUCCAAGAUUCAGGAGUGGGCGACAAGCAACUAUGCAGUCUCUUCACACUGCCCAGGCUGACCUUGAACUCUUGGUGAGUCUCAGGAUUCUCAGUGAUUCUCCUGCCUCAGCCUCCAGAGAACCUAGGACUUCAGAGACACAAGCGACCCGCCAUGUUGGUGACAAAUAUUCUAUCUGCUGCACUUAUGAAAAUGGCAGGAAAAUACCAACAAAUGCAUCACUGGAACCUUCAAAAUGGAGCUGGGAGACUGCGUGGGGAAAGUCAAGGAUGUCUUCUCUAUCCUCAGAGAGAAAAUGAAGUUUCAAAGGGCAGAAUUACAGUUUGGUUUUACAAUCUUACUUGAUUUUGUUUCUUAGUCUGGAAUUGGGCAACCUUUCAUUACAUAAAAAGCAAUUAAGUACUCCCAUGAGAACAGCAGAAAAAGUUGUGUUUUUUUUUUCCUUUUAUUUUAAAAUACCUCAAGUUGUCCUCAAACUAUGUAGCCAAGGAUAGCCUUGAAAUUCUUGGGCUGGAGAGAUGACUCAGAGGUUAAGAGCACCAACUACUAUUCCAGAGG